rnacentral:rRNA from 1 species
CCUACGGGGCGCAGCAGGCGCGAAAACUUUACAAUGCGGGAAACCGUGAUAGGGGAACUCCGAGUGCCCGUAAAAUCGGGCUGUCCACCAGUUUAAAUAACUGGUGAAGAAAGGGCCGGGCAAGACCGGUGCCAGCCGCCGCGGUAAUACCGGCGGCUCGAGUGGUGGCCACUAUUACUGGGCUUAAAGCGUUCGUAGCUGGUUUGUUAAGUCUCUGGGGAAAUCUUCCGGCUUAACCGGAAGGCGUCUCAGGGAUACUGGCAGACUAGGGACCGGGAGAGGUGAGGGGUACUCCAGGGGUAGGAGUGAAAUCCUGUAAUCCUUGGGGGACCACCUGUGGCGAAGGCGCCUCACCAGAACGGCUCCGACAGUGAGGGACGAAAGCUGGGGGAGCAAACCGGAUUAGAUACCCGGGUAGUCCCAGCUGUAAACGAUGCGCGUUAGGUGUAUCAGUGACCACGAGUCACUGAGGUGCCGAAGAGAAAUCGUGAAACGUGCCGCCUGGGAAGUACGGUCGCAAGGCUGAAACU